UUAAUGGAGAGUUUGAUCCUGGCUCAGGACGAACGCUGGCGGCGUGCCUAAUACAUGCAAGUCGAGCGAGGUUAUUUAGAAGCUUGCUUCUAAAUAACCUAGCGGCGGACGGGUGAGUAACACGUAGGCAACCUGCCCACAAGACAGGGAUAACUACCGGAAACGGUAGCUAAUACCCGAUACAUCCUUUUCCUGCAUGGGCGAAGGAGGAAAGACGGAGCAAUCUGUCACUUGUGGAUGGGCCUGCGGCGCAUUAGCUAGUUGGUGGGGUAAAGGCCUACCAAGGCGACGA
rnacentral:rRNA from 1 species